AGCCAGACUCCUACGGGAGGCAGCAGUGGGGAAUAUUGGGCAAUGGGCGCAAGCCUGACCCAGCAACGCCGCGUGAAGGAAGAAGGCUUUCGGGUUGUAAACUUCUUUUCUCAGGGACGAAGAAAGUGACGGUACCUGAGGAAUAAGCCACGGCUAACUACGUGCCAGCAGCCGCGGUAAUACGGAGGAUCCGAGCGUUAUCCGGAUUUAUUGGGUUUAAAGGGAGCGUAGGCGGGUUGUUAAGUCAGUUGUGAAAGUUUGCGGCUCAACCGUAAAAUUGCAGUUGAUACUGGCAUCCUUGAGUACAGUAGAGGUAGGCGGAAUUCGUGGUGUAGCGGUGAAAUGCUUAGAUAUCACGAAGAACUCCGAUUGCGAAGGCAGCCUGCUGGACUGUAACUGACGCUGAUGCUCGAAAGCGUGGGGAGCAAACAGGAUUAGAUACCCCUGUA
rnacentral:rRNA from 1 species